rnacentral:rRNA from 1 species
UACGUAGGGUGCGAGCGUUGUCCGGAAUUAUUGGGCGUAAAGGGCUCGUAGGCGGUCUGUCGCGUCUGGUGUGAAAAUCCAGGGCUUAACCCUGGACCUGCAUCGGGUACGGGCAGACUAGAGUGCGGUAGGGGAGAUCGGAAUUCCUGGUGUAGCGGUGAAAUGCGCAGAUAUCAGGAGGAACACCGGUGGCGAAGGCGGAUCUCUGGGCCGUAACUGACGCUGAGGAGCGAAAGCAUGGGGAGCGAACAGG